UAGGGAAUCUUCCACAAUGGACGCAAGUCUGAUGGAGCAACGCCGCGUGAGUGAAGAAGGUUUUCGGAUCGUAAAGCUCUGUUGUUGGUGAAGAAGGAUAGAGGCAGUAACUGGUCUUUAUUUGACGGUAAUCAACCAGAAAGUCACGGCUAACUACGUGCCAGCAGCCGCGGUAAUACGUAGGUGGCAAGCGUUGUCCGGAUUUAUUGGGCGUAAAGCGAGCGCAGGCGGAAUGAUAAGUCUGAUGUGAAAGCCCACGGCUCAACCGUGGAACUGCAGCGGAAACUGUCAUUCUUGAGUGCAGAAGAGGAGAGUGGAAUUCCAUGUGUAGCGGUGGAAUGCGUAGAUAUAUGGAAGAACACCAGUGGCGAAGGCGGCUCUCUGGUCUGCAACUGACGCUGAGGCUCGAAAGCAUGGGUAGCGAACAGG
rnacentral:rRNA from 2 species